rnacentral:rRNA from 1 species
UUUUAAAUUUAAAGUCUGACCUGCUCAAUGAAAUUUAAAUAGCCGCAGUAUUUUGACUGUGCAAAGGUAGCAUAAUCAUUAGUUUUUUAAUUAAAAACUUGUAUGAAUGGUUGGAUGAGAAAUAAUCUGUCUCUGUAUAAUUUAAUUAGAAUUUUAUUUUUGAGUUAAAAAGCUUAAAUUAUUAUUAAAGACGAGAAGACCCUAUAGAGUUUUAUUUUUUUGAAUAAUUGAUUUUUUAGGAAUUUAUUUUUUAUUUAUUUAAAUUAAUUUUGUUGGGGCGACAGGAAAAAUAAUUUAACUUUUUCUUUUUAUAACAUUAAUUUAUGAUUAGUUGAUCCAAUAUUUUUGAUUAUAAGUUUAAAUUACCUUAGGGAUAACAGCGUAAUUUUUUUUGAGAGUUCUUAUCGAAAAAAAAGUUUGCGACCUCGAUGUUGGAUUAAAAUUUAGGGUUGGCGUAGAAGUUAAUCUUUUGAGUCUGUUCGACUUUUAAAAUUUUACGUGAU